rnacentral:rRNA from 1 species
GUAAGGAAUAUUGGUCAAUGGACGAAAGUCUGAACCAGCCAUGUCGCGUGAAGGAUGAAGGCCCUCUGGGUUGUAAACUUCUUUUAUCUGGGACGAAAAAAGGGUAUUCUUACUCACUUGACGGUACCAGAGGAAUAAGCACCGGCUAACUCCGUGCCAGCAGCCGCGGUAAUACGGAGGGUGCAAGCGUUAUCCGGAUUCACUGGGUUUAAAGGGUGCGUAGGUGGGUAUUUAAGUCAGUGGUGAAAUCUCCGAGCUUAACUCGGAAACUGCCAUUGAUACUAUUUACCUUGAAUGCCCUGGAGGUAAGCGGAAUAUGUCAUGUAGCGGUGAAAUGCUUAGAUAUGACAUAGAACACCAAUUGCGAAGGCAGCUUACUACGGGGUGAUUGACACUGAGGCACGAAAGCGUGGGGAGCAAACAGGAUUAGAAACCCCGGUAGUCC